AUUGAACGCUGGCGGCAUGCCUUACACAUGCAAGUCGAACGGCAGCACGGGAGCAAUCCUGGUGGCGAGUGGCGAACGGGUGAGUAAUAUAUCGGAACGUGCCCGGUCGUGGGGGAUAACGUAGCGAAAGCUACGCUAAUACCGCAUACGAUCUACGGAUGAAANCGGGGGAUCGCAAGACCUCGCGCGAAUUGGAGCGGCCGAUAUCAGAUUAGGUAGUUGGUGAGGUAAAGGCUCACCAAAGUCCCGACGGAUCUGUAGCUGGUCUGAGAGGACGACCAGCCACACUGGGACUGAGACA
rnacentral:rRNA from 1 species